GCGGAAGUGGUGAAAUUGGUAUACACGCUUGGUUUAGGUCCAAGUGCCGCAAGGUGUGAGGGUUCGAGUCCCUCCUUCCGCACCA
rnacentral:tRNA from 1 species